rnacentral:tRNA from 1 species
GACGGUUUGGCCGAGUGGUCUAAGGCGCCAGAUUUUAGGCUCUGGUCCGAAAGGGCGUGGGUUCAAAUCCCACAGCCGUUA